rnacentral:rRNA from 1 species
AUUGAACGCUGGCGGCAGGCCUAACACAUGCAAGUCGAGCGGUAGAGAGGUGCUUGCAUCUCUUGAGAGCGGCGGACGGGUGAGUAAUGCCUAGGAAUCUGCCUAGUGGUGGGGGAUAACGUUCGGAAACGGACGCUAAUACCGCAUACGUCCUACGGGAGAAAGCGGGGGAUCUUCGGACCUCGCGCCAUUAGAUGAGCCUAGGUCGGAUUAGCUAGUUGGUGAGGUAAUGGCUCACCAAGGCGACGAUCCGUAACUGGUCUGAGAGGAUGAUCAGUCACACUGGAACUGAGACACGGUCCAGACUCCUACGGGAGGCAGCAGUGGGGAAUAUUGGACAAUGGGCGAAAGCCUGAUCCAGCCAUGCCGCGUGUGUGAAGAAGGUCUUCGGAUUGUAAAGCACUUUAAGUUGGGAGGAAGGGUAGGUAACCUAAUACGUUGCUACUUUGACGUUACCGACAGAAUAAGCACCGGCUAACUUCGUGCCAGCACG